rnacentral:lncRNA from 1 species
GUCUCUAUGGGGUCACUUUGCUUUGGAAGGUCCAUAUGGGGUCAGCUAUGUUGGUCUGUUAUAGGAGUUAUUGGAGGUCUUCGUGGGUCUUUGGAGUCUGUAUGGGGUUUUUAGGGUCUCUAUGGGGUUAUUUGGGCCUGUAUGGGGUUAUUUGGGGUCCUUAUGGGGUCAUUUGUGAUCUCUAUGGGGUCUUUUGGGGUCUCUAUGGGGUCAUUUUGGGGCCUGUAUGGGGUUAUUUGGGGUCCUUAUGGGGUCAUUUGUGAUCUCUAUGGUGUUAUUUGGGGUCUCUAUGGGGUCAUUUGGGGGCCUCUAUGGGGUCAUUUUGAGGUCUCUAUGGGGUCACUUUGCUUUGGAGGUCCAUAUGGGGUCACUAUGGGGUCUGUAUGGAGUUAUUUGGGGUCUCAGUGGGGUCAUUUGGGGUCCUUAUGGGGUCAUUUGGAGUCUCUAUGGGGUCUCUGUGGGGUCAGUUUGGGAUCCCUAUGGGGUCGCUUUGCUUUGGGUUCCCUAUGGGGUCAUUUUGAGGCCUCUAUGAGUUCUCUAUGGGGUCUUUUGGGGUCUCUAUGGGGUCAUUUUGGGGCCUGUAUGGGGUUAUUUGGGGUCCUUAUGGGGUCAUUUUAGUGUCUCUAUGGGGUUGCUUUGCUUUGGGGUCUCUGUGGGGUCAUUUGGGGUCCCUAUGGGGUCCCAUUGGGGUCUAUUGGGAUCCCUUUAGGGUCCCUUUGGGGUCCCAUUGGGGUCUAUUUGGGGACCCAUUAGGGUCUCUUUGAAGUCCCAUUGGGGUCUCUUUGGGAUCCCUUUAGGGUACCAUUGGGAUUGCUUUUCUUUAGGGUCCCAUUGGGAUCCAUUUAGGGUCUCUUUGGGAUCCCAUUGGGGUUGCUUUCCUUUAGGGUCCCUUUAGGGUCUCUUUGGGGUCCCUUUGGUGUCCCAUUGGGGUCUCUUUGGGAUCCCUUUGGGGUCCCAUUGGGGUCUAUUGGGAUCCCUUUAGGGUCCCAUUGGGGUCUAUUGGGAUCCCUUUAGGGUCCCAUUGGGGUCUAUUGGGAUCCCUUUAGGGUCCCAUUGGGGUCCCUUUGGGGUUGCUUUCCUUUAGGGUCCCAUUGGGAUCCCAUUGGGGUCCCUUUAGGGUCCCUUUAGGGUCUAUUCGGGAUCCCUUUAGGGUCUAUUGGGUUCCCUUUAGGGUACCUUUAGGGUCCCAUUGGGGUCCCUUUGUGGCCCCACUAGGGUCCCUUUGGGGUCUCUUUGGGGUCCCAUUUGGGUCUAUUGGGAUCCCUUUAGGGUCCCAUUGGGGUCAAUUUUGGAUCUCUUUAGGGUCUCUUUGGGGUCCCAUUGGGGUCUAUUGGGAUCCCAUUGGGGUCCCAUUGGGGUUGCUCUCCUUUAGGGUCCCAUUGAUGUCCCAUUGGGGUCCCUUUAAGGUCCCAUUGGGAUCCCAUUGGGGUCUAUUGGGAUCCCUUUAGGGUCCCUUUGGGGUCCCAUUGGGGUCUAUUGGGAUCCCUUUAGGGUCCCAUUGGGGUCCCAUUGGGGUUGCUUUCCUCUAGGGUCCCAUUGGGGU